CGGCCGCGUCGACGGCAGAGGGAAUUCCUGGUGUAGCGGUGAAAUGCGUAGAGAUCAGGAAGAACAUCGGUGGCGAAAGGCGCUAGCGCGUGGGGAACCAAGUAACUGUACGGUACUAACCCUUAGGACGGUGGAACGAACGGUCCGAGGUAACGGUCGGGAACGGUCGAAACGGGGUACCAACGAACGGAAAGGGGGUACUAAGGG
rnacentral:rRNA from 1 species